rnacentral:rRNA from 1 species
UACGGAGGGGGCUAGCGUUGUUCGGAAUUACUGGGCGUAAAGAGCGCGCAGGCGGUCGUUCAAGUCGCGUGUGAAAGCCCCCGGCUCAACUGGGGAGGGUCACGCGAUACUGAUCGACUCGAAGGCAGGAGAGGGUAGUGGAAUUCCCGGUGUAGUGGUGAAAUGCGUAGAUAUCGGGAGGAACACCAGUGGCGAAGGCGACUACCUGGCCUGUUUCUUGACGCUGAGGCGCGAAAGCUAGGGGAGCAAACGGGG